GUAACUUUUUUACCUUAACCGAACAGCUUUGGAGUCAUUGUAAUGUUUAUAUUACUGAUUUCGUGUUGAAUGGUGGUCGUCUCGCACCCCCCUGGUGCCUGUGAGCCGCAAAACCACCCUUGCAACUUUGGGCCGGCGGGCCGCCGACCUCAGUGUUAGGAAGUAUCGUGUGAUAUCAGGUCUCACGAGGUAACGAAUUGCUUUACGGCACUGCACGCGUACACGCCCCCAUCCAUCCAGUAUCCGGCUAGCUAUAAGAAAAAGGUAACGCUAGAUAUUGAAUUCUUCAAGUUUUCGUAAUGGCUGAUGUAAAAAAGAAGAAGAAAGCUCGGAAAUCUUUGUCAGUGGACCAAAGAAAGAGGAAACGGGAGACUGACCGAGCGAGAAGUCUAGAGUUAAUAUUGGACCGGCUUUUUCAGAAUGGAGAGAACUGAAAGAAAGCGAAGCCUGCAAAACCGAUGCUGACCUGGCCUUCUUGCUGUUGCACUUCUACAAGUGUUGGCAAGUGUCAUCAACUCCGAGUAAGGGGCACCCCAGACCACCACUACCACCGGUCUCAAGCUUCACGGAGGAAUCUGACCGUGAUCAUGAUGUAGCCAUUCCUGAGCUUGGUGUUCGUCCACUAAUUUGAGAGGGAGAAGUUGGUGCUUUGGAGUC